rnacentral:rRNA from 1 species
CCUACGGGCGGCAGCAGUCGAGAAUCAUUCACAAUGGGGGAAACCCUGAUGGUGCGACGCCGCGUGGGGGAAUGAAGGUCUUCGGAUUGUAAACCCCUGUCAUGUGGGAGCAAAUUAAAAAGAUAGUACCACAAGAGGAAGAGACGGCUAACUCUGUGCCAGCAGCCGCGGUAAUACAGAGGUCUCAAGCGUUGUUCGGAAUCACUGGGCGUAAAGCGUGCGUAGGCUGUUUCGUAAGUCGUGUGUGAAAGGCGCGGGCUCAACCCGCGGACGGCACAUGAUACUGCGAGACUAGAGUGAUGGAGGGGGAACCGGAAUUCUCGGUGUAGCAGGGAAAUGCGUAGAUAUCGAGAGGAACACUCGUGGCGAAGGCGGGUUCCUGGACAUUAACUGACGCUGAGGCACGAAGGCCAGGGGAGCGAAAGGGAUUAGAUACCCCUGUAGUC